AGUCGUAACAAAAACUGAUAACAAAUCUGUGCAAAAACAGAGUUGAGGCCGAGGCGUUGCGUAGUGGUGACGCCGUGGCCGGAGUCCAAAUUCCGAUGGCGAACAACAACAACAAUCAACCGACGACUCCACCCUACCUUCCCUACCGCCAGAGAAAAGUUCUGACCGGACACACACGCGCCGUCUCUUGCGUGAAGUUCGCCAAUAACGGACAACUCUUCGCUUCCGCCUCCUUGGACAAAACCCUAAUCGUCUGGUCUACCCAAACCCUAACUCAGCUUUCACGUCUCGUCGGCCAUUCAGAAGGUGUCUCCGACCUAUCAUGGUCGUCUGAUUCAAGUUACAUAUGCUCCGCCUCUGACGAUCGCACGCUUCGUAUUUGGGAUGCACGCACAGCUGAGUCAGUCAAAACUCUCCGGGGACAUACUGGGUUUGUGUUCUGCGUUAAUUUCAAUCCUCAGUCCAAUCUCAUAGUUUCAGGUUCGUUUGAUGAGACUUUUCGGGUCUGGGAUGUGAAAACGGGCAAGCCAAUCCACGCGAUUAAGGCACAUUCGAUGCCAGUUACUUCGGUUCAUUUCAACAAAGAUGGAUCUUUGAUUGUUUCGGGUAGUCAUGAUGGGUCUUGUAAGAUAUGGGAUAUGGCUUCCGGAGCUUGCCUCAAGACUCUUAUUGAUGAUAAGGUUCCUGCAGUUUCCUUUGCCAAGUUUUCACCUAAUGGCAAGUUUAUUCUUGUUGCCACCCUAGAUAAUACUCUUAAGCUAUGGAAUUAUUCUACUGGAAAAUUCAUAAAAAGCUACGCAGGCCAUGUGAACAGAGUGUACUGCAUAACUUCCACGUUUUCAGUCACAAAUGGGAAGUAUAUAGUGAGUGGCUCAGAAGAUCAAUGUGUCUACGUAUGGGAUUUGCAAGGGAAAAACUUGCUGCAGAAAUUUGAAGGGCAUACUGAUACCGUCAUUUCAGUGUGUUGCCACCCCAUAGAAAACAUGAUUCUCUCAGCUGGACUAGAUAACGACAGGACAGUGAGGAUCUGGGUCCAAGACUAAAGAAUAUCCUCAAAUGUGGUAGGUUCAUUCUAUCCUACAAAUACACAAUCUUUGUGUUCUUAAGAUUGAUAUUAACUUUGGAGAUUGGAACAUCAAAAUUUUAUUAACAUGCAGCAAAGUGGUCCUUUAUCUGGUAGAUUGAGUUGAAUGUAAUGGAAAGAGUCAUCCUUUCAGUUGCACCCUUAUUCUUCUUUCUAUGUUUUUGCCCAAGGAUGUUCGCUUGCAUUAAGUUACAUUGGGUAAUUUGGCGCGUAAAAUAUGGCAAUGAGUCCUGUGUGUUUACGAAUAGUGCAGUUAUCUGGAAAUGGAUGCCAGGAGAUAUUGCGUUAUCAAGUUUCAAAAAACUGGCUACUGUAUUUUAUUUUUUUAUAUGUGAGAAACUAGAUGGUGCCAUUCCUCCAGAAUACUGAGGGUAAGCAUUUAUUAAUGUAAGAUAAGUUAAAAUAUAUGAAUAGAAUGUGUUGUUUUCAUUCA